rnacentral:tRNA from 1 species
GUCCAGGGAUGAGAAUCGAAUCCAGUGUUCCGCUUACCGGGCAGAUGCCAUGUCCACUAGGCUACCCUGGA